rnacentral:rRNA from 1 species
GAUGAACGCUGGCGGCGUGCUUAAUACAUGCAAGUCGAGCGAACAGACGAGGAGCUUGCUCCUCUGACGUUAGCGGCGGAGGGGUGAGUAACACGUGGAUAACCUCCUUAUAAGACUGGGAUAAACUGGGGAAUCCGGAUCUAAAACGAGAUAAUAUACUGCACCGCAUGGUUGAAUAGUAAAAGACGGUUUUGCUGUCACUUAUAGAUGGAUCCGCGCUGGAUUAGCUAGUUGGUAAGGUAACGGCUUACGACGGCAACGAUGCGUAGCCGACCUGAGAGGGUGGUCGGCCACACUGGAAGUGAGACACGGUCCAGACUCCUACGGGAGGCAGCAGUAGGGAAUCUUACGCAAUGGGCGAAAGCUUGACGGAGCAACGCGGCGUGAGUGAUGAAGGUCUUCGGAUCGGAAAGCUCUGUUAUUAGGGAAGAACAAAUGUGUAAGUAACUAUGCACGUCUUGACGGUACCUAAUCAGAAAGCCACGGCUAACUACGUG